CAGGGCUGUCCGUGCGGCGUUACCCCGCCCAACUCCCCCAGGGUCGAAAGACAGCAAGGGUAAGUGGGCUAUGUCGGGUGCGCGGGCAGCCCCUUUA
rnacentral:SRP_RNA from 1 species